UACAGAGGUCUCAAGCGUUGUUCGGAUUCAUUGGGCGUAAAGGGUGCGUAGGCGGCGUGGUAAGUCGGGUGUGAAAUCUCGGAGCUUAACUCCGAAACUGCAUUUGAUACUGCCUUGCUUGAGGACUGGAGAGGAGACUGGAAUUCACGGUGUAGCAGUGAAAUGCGUAGAUAUCGUGAGGAAGACCAGUGGCGAAGGCGGGUCACUGGACCGGAACUGACGCUGAGGCGCGAAAGCGUGGGGAGCAAACGGG
rnacentral:rRNA from 1 species